rnacentral:misc_RNA from 1 species
UGAGCUUGUUAAGGUAAUGGAAAAUCGCAAUCGGAAAUGGUGGCAGAUAUGAAGAUAUCAUCAUCCUUUUCUGGAAACAGAAGAUUCAUCAUUGUUACACAUAAGAAAGUAUCGAUAUUUGACAUAUAUACUGUACAGAUCGAUAUGGCUUUUCAAAAGUUUGGGUUAAAGAAACUGAUGAGAGUGUAACAUAGAUUAUUUGUGAAAAGCUUAGGUGGUUUUGUUAUUUUUUGCUCUUCAUUUUCAUUAUCUUUUGUUUGUCUGCAAAGGAAAAUUAUGUAACAGACGGCAUAUUUAUUGUUUGUGAAGUGAGUAAAGCCUUUCAUAAA